GGGAUUGCCUCAGUAACGGCGAGUGAAGCGGCAACAGCUCAAAUUUGAAAUCUGGCCCUUUCGGGGUCCGAGUUGUAAUUUGUAGAGAGUGUUUCGGGCGAGACCACGGUCUAAGUCCAUUGGAACAUGGCGUCAUAGAGGGUGAGAAUCCCGUAUGUGACUGUGGAUCGAGCCCAUGUGAAGCCUCUUCGACGAGUCGAGUUGUUUGGGAAUGCAGCUCAAAAUGGGUGGUAAAUUUCAUCUAAAGCUAAAUACUGGCUGGAGACCGAUAGCGCACAAGUAGAGUGAUCGAAAGAUGAAAAGCACUUUGGAAAGAGAGUCAAACAGUACGUGAAAUUGUUGAAAGGGAAGCGCUCGCAACCAGACCUGUCCGUAGGUGAUCAGCCGCUGUUCUCAGUGGUGCACUCGCUCUGCGAUCAGGCCAGCAUCGGUUUCGGCGGCCGGAUAAAGGCCUUGGGAAUGUAGCUCCCCUCGGGGAGUCUUAUAGCCCUCGGUGCAAUGCGGCCAGCCGGGACCGAGGACCGCGCUUCGGCUAGGAUGCUGGCGUAAUGGUUGU
rnacentral:rRNA from 1 species